AAACCUAAACCCUAAACCCUAAACCUUACAUCCUAAACUUUAAAAUCUAAAUCCUACUUUAGGCUACCAGAAUCGAGUUGCGGUUCUAGUUCUUAUGCUCAAUGAUACACAAAGCAUCUAGUCAUAUUGGACCAC
rnacentral:sRNA from 1 species